AUUAAAUGCGCGUUAAUAAUUCCAUUGGAGAUUGAAGAGGCAAUCAGGUGUAAUUAAAUGGUGAGACUGUGGGUAUUCCCCACUAAAUGUACCUGAAAGGUUUUUUUUUUUUUUUUGAAGUUGAAGUUGAUCUAAAAUAAUGUACUAAGAUAAUGUUAUUAAU